CGGAUCCGAGGAAUUCCUCCUACAGGCCCGCGCAGAGGCCGGCGAGCUCGCCCACUCCUCGCGGCCCACUCCCUCCUGCCCCGCUAGUGAAGAUGUCCGCCAAGCCCGACGCCGGCUUCGUGAAAGAGGCUUCUCGCCAGAUCCUGGCCGGUGGUUCCGCUGGUCUUGUAGAAAUUUGCCUGAUGCACCCCCUCGAUGUGGUGAAAACCAGGUUCCAGAUUCAGAGAUGUGCAACUGAUCCAAACAGUUAUAAAAGCUUGGGAGACAGCUUUCGAACGAUUUUCCGAAUAGAAGGAUUGUUUGGUUUCUACAAGGGGAUUCUGCCACCAAUCUUGGCUGAAACACCAAAAAGAGCAGUGAAGUUUUUCACCUUUGAGCAGUACAAGAAAUUGCUAGGAUACGUGUCACUGUCACCAGCAUUGACAUUUGCCAUUGCUGGAUUAGGAUCUGGACUAACAGAAGCUAUCGUGGUUAACCCUUUUGAGGUAGUAAAAGUUGGCUUGCAAGCGAAUCGGAACAAAUUUACGGAGCAACCAUCCACGAUGAGUUAUGCAAGACACAUCAUUAAGAAGGAAGGCUUGGGACUCCAGGGCCUCAACAAAGGAUUUACAGCAACUUUGGGACGUCACGGAGUUUUCAACAUGGUUUAUUUUGGCUUCUACUACAAUGUCAAAAACAUUAUUCCUGUCAAUAAGGAUCCAACCUUGGAGUUUUUGAGAAAAUUUGGGAUUGGUCUUCUCUCCGGCACAAUAGCCUCAGUCAUUAACAUCCCUUUUGAUGUUGCCAAAAGUAGGAUUCAAGGGCCUCAGCCAGUUCCUGGAGAGAUCAAGUACAGAACCUGUUUUCAAACAAUGGCAACAGUCUACCGGGAAGAAGGGAUUUUCGCUUUGUACAAAGGCCUGCUUCCCAAGAUUAUGAGGCUUGGACCAGGUGGUGCAGUGAUGCUGCUGGUUUAUGAAUACACCUAUUCAUGGCUUCAGGAGAACUGGUGAUUGCCCAGCAAGUGUUGAGAUCAUGGAUAUUUGCUCUACAGCACCGUGAGGAGAGACUAUCAGCUCAGUUGAUAUGAUUGAUAAUUAUAAUUAUACAAAUACGUACAGUCAUUAAGGGGAAACAAUUUAAUCAAGAACAAAACCUAUUUUGAUACUUCAGAAAUUAUCUCUAGACAAUUUGAGACUGGUUUUGGCCAUAUCCAUAAAUCUGUGAGAAGAAAAAUAGUAUGAAGUAAUGAGGUAACGCUCUUGCAUCUUGUGAGGGAGAGAAAUGCCUGCAUAGAGGCCAUGAAAUUGAACCUUUAACCUCUCCCUGUGAAUGGGAUGGAAAAGGAUCUCUGAAGAGUGCAUUUGCCAGUUUAAAAACAACAGUUUUACCCCCUAAAAAACAAAGGAAAUAUGUCAACAUUAACCAGUAAUAAUAGCAUUUAUAAAUCAAACAAUCCCAAUCCCCCAACCCAUCCCAUUUUCCUUUUUGAUUUUUAGAAGUAGCUUUAAAUCAUAUUUUGUUUUGAAUAGCAAAUCGCAUUUUAACUUUCUGUUGUCUUUAAGUUACUCCAUGUGAAUUCACUGUUGCUAAGAAAAGACCUGGGGGAAAAAGGGAAAAAAAAUCUUGAUAUCAUUAACAUUAGAUUUUUUAAAAUAAAAGAGCCAGAAAAAAUUAUAAAUAGCAUUAACAAGAGAUUUCUUAAUUUAGAUAAAGAAAAUAAUAUUUCAUUGUGUUUCCAUACAAAUGACUGGUAUUUUUUUUUUUAAGACUCCUAGUAGCCAUCUAAAAAAAUAUCUGAUAAGGGAUAAUUCUAUACCUUAUGUCAGUUUUUCUGGACGGCAGGAGAGUCCCUGUAUGGUAUGAUUUUAAAGUCUCCACCAAGAUAUUGGACUGGUAUCUUCGUUCCAUUCGGUUUAUAGUCUAUUUUCUCAUCAGACUGGGAACUCCAGAUGUCAACAGGAGUUUUAGAAGAUCAAAGGAAGACUAUGGCCCUGAGAGUUCAUCUGCUCCUUCUGCUUAUUCUUCUCCUGAAGUUAUAAUCCUCUGUUUGUAGCACUGAAUUUUGCUUUAGAAAUAAAUGCAGUUUAAAGCUCUCUCUAUAAGAUAGCUGUUGCUUGAAGCAAGCAAUUCCUCAAAUAUAACUUCUGUGUCAGAAAUCUGCUUACUGUCUAUAUGGUAGGGAUCUGAAACCUCGCCUCUGAGUUUUAAGUGAAGCCAUGAAACCAAUGUGGCGGAACUGGACUGCCGUG